ACCUGCUCCCUCCACGCUGAAAAGAGCGUUUUGCGGGCGAUACCGCUCAGCCAGGGAGGCCCCUACAUAUCCCUGUAAAAUAUUGUGUUGCGUUUAAAAAUAAUUGUUAUUGGUGUUGUUAAAAAGUAUAAAAGGGCAGGGCCUUUCACUUUGUGUUUGGUUUCGCAAAAGUUUUCGAAUGACAAAAUUUUUGCUUAUGAAUUUGCUGAUGUUUAACUUUAUUUGGUGAUUUUAAAGAUAAUUGUGCAUACUUUAGGAGAGCGUUGAUAGCAAGAAGGCUAAGGAAAAGAACGUAGGCGUAGACGAUCAAAUAUAUGUCGCUGAUAUACUAAUUUGCAACAAAUUUUCUUAAGUUAUAUUGAUAGUUCCCUCAUGAUUAACAACUAUAAAAUCUGCUCUGUUGAAAUUUCAGCUACACAUUUUAUGAUUCGAACUUGACAAUAUUGGGAAUAAAUGUUUCCAGAAAUGUUCCAAACUACCGAAAUUGGUUCUGUUGUUCCCCAUUUAUAAAUGAACUGACUGUAUGCACGGCUUCAACAGUUUUCUAAAUUGUUCCAAGUGAUAGCUCAUAAUUCGCAUGUUUCUGAGAACUUCAACUUUGCAGAAGUCACCUGAUAACUAUUUACUGUGAAAUGGUUCUUUUCCGCUAAGGAGUGUUUACUUUAUGAAAAACAAAGGUAGGAUUGAAAGAAGAUCUCAAGGAUUGUGAUGAUAUAGAACCAACAGGCUGAAAUUUUACAGAAUUUCCAUGUGACAAGUAGAUAACAAAUCUGAAUCAUACAGAAGUAGGAUUGACGGCAAUAGAAAUUUGGUCAACAAGAGGAAGACUACGUGAUGUCGUGUAUUGGCUGCCAGAAGAGAAACCUGGUCUCCAACCCUGCUGCAAUAGUACAUGGCUUUGGGAACUUUUUGGAUGAGUUCAGGGACUCUAUUUAAUGCUUCUGUUGGUCAAGUGGGCAUAAACUACAACAGACUAUGUGAUACAACUGUUUUGCCUUGGCCCUCAAGACUGUAUUUCAUUGAAGCAAGCUUUUAGCUUGAAGGACUGUUAGAGAUGGACUUGCAUGCCUGUCUUGGACUGAAGAGGGAAACUUCUAUAAAAAAAAAUGAAAGAGAGGAAUGAAGAAAUGACUAGCAAUAGAGCAGGUCGAAUGAGAGAAAAGAAAAUCUAGAAUAGAUUUUGCUAAACCUCUCCUUCCUCUCUUAAUCUAACCAAAUUUCGUAAACUGUUUAAUUAGUUAAUAUUGACUAUAAUGUUUGUAAAAGAUGUAUUGACUAUAAUUUUUCAUGUAACAAGAUCUGUUUCGAGUUAAAGUUUUGAAUAAAAUGUUCCCCGAAAAUUGUAAAAGGGAAGCAACAAUAUAAAUUUUAACAUUGGAAUUUAAUGACUUAUUUAAUAACAAACUGUACCUGUGUUGAAUAUAUAUUUUCUGGAUAAACAAUUAUAUCACGCUAUUAGUUAUGCGAUAUUUAUAAAGUAUGGGGUAUUUGUAUUUGAAAAUUGUAUAUUGUAUCCGAAAUUGAUGUGCAUUUCGCAACCCUAAAUUAUUUACUUUGAAAUUGAUAAAUUAAUGGUUAGAAUAUAUUAAAAAUUGUAGCAAUUUCAAUUGUCUAUUCAGUGAAUAUUUAGUAUAAAUGUACGAGUUGCAAACUGUAGUUGUAAAAGAAAUAUAAAUGUUUUAUUAAAUUCAAAUGUUAGACACAUAAAAUCGAAGGAACUAAAUUCUGGAGUAGAAAUUCAGGUACGUAAUUCAAAUGGUUACUUUUUGAAAAUUAUGGUGGAAUUCAGAAAAUUCAAAUUAACUUCAGAUAUCAAAACUUGUAAAAUUUACCAAAACUAAUUAUGAGCUUACAUUAAAAACCUCAGUUUCUUGAUUAGACACAAAUUGUUUUCCAAAACUCUAAAAACUAUAAGAUUAUGUACAUGGAAUGAAAUUUAGAACCAUUAACAGUUAGCGCAUUGAGAUUAGAAAAUAUUUAAAUACCAUAUCAUGAAAAGUUGGAACUGAGGUUUACCGGAAAUACUCCACGCAAUACAAGGGUGCCUAUCCUAAACAGUAAGGCUUGCAAGUAUGAACCGGAAGUUUCAAAACAGAUGGGAGAAUGUGUCAUACGAAGAGGAAGUGGUAGACGGCCGUUCUGCUUCCUCUUCGUGCUUCACAUUCUUUCAGCAGCUGUUUCGGAACUUCUCGAUUCAUUCAUGCAAGUUUCUGCAGUGGAUUGGUAUUCCCGUAGAGUUCAGACAGCUAACGAUAUUUUUGUGCAGGCAGUAUUUUUUUAUGAAAGAAUAUGCGUUUGUUCACUGUAUUAAUAAUACUGUGCGGAGUUCUGUUUUAAUACACUAUUGUUACAAAUAACGCUUUUUCAGACGCAGCAUCUCUGUCACCUUUAAUUGUUUAGUACCAAAAUUUAACUCGAAAACCUUGCAAUAAAUUUUUGUAAAUAAAUAAUAGUCUCACUUUAUUGAGCAAUUGAUUUAAAAUUGUUUUAGUACUAUGUGAAUGUAUAAUUGUUUUGAAAAUAAUAUUUUGCUCACACUUUUGCUGAAAUAUUGUGCACUGAAAGUCAUUUAUUUAAGACAUGAUUAAACUUUGUAUUUUUGUGCUUUUAUACUUUUGUAAUAUGAAAUUCAUACUCUUAAUAGAUUCUGAUAUCUAGAAAUAAGUUUAAGUAACAAAUUCGUGUAACGCUUCAUUAAACUAUUCAAAUAAAAACAAUUCGUUAAACACAGGUUGCUUGAAUGUUACGUUUGAUAUUUAGAGCAUAAAUUAUUUGUAAAAUACUUGCUUGUCUUAAAGUUUAAUAAGAAUUCUCUAAUAAAGUUCAGGAAUUUUAAUAAAUAAAUAAAAGCUCAUCAAUAUCUUAAAUCUCGAUUCAGUUAACUUUAAGGUAAAUAGAAAAAUUAUUCAACUAAAAUUGCGUAGAAACAAAAUUUGGGAAGAUUUUAAAUUCAAAAUUGAAUAAUUUAAGAAAAAAACUUUAGACUAACUUUAUUUUGUAGUUUAAAAAAAGACAAUUUUAAAUUAUUUAGCUAAAUUUUUAACUAACGUUCUUUAAAAUGCUGUAAAUAGUUAUUUGGAAAUUUAGUGUAACUACAUUGCAUAACCGUAAGAUUUCAAUGCGUGUAAAAUUGUUUCGCUUUUAUAUUCGCAUUUAAAACAAAAUAAUUCUAAAGAGUUUUCGUAUUUCUAAAGUAAAAAAUUAGGUUUUCAAAAAUUCAAAUCCCCCAAUCUUAAUCGCAAAUAUUUUUCAACACAGUUUAAGAAUAAAAUUAAGCAGCCAAAACCUCAUAUUUAGGAUAAAAUUUCUUAACAAUUCUGUUUUUUGUACUCCAUCUCGUAAGUGGAAAUAAAAUUUAAUUGAAGCUUGUUAUUAAACUUAAAAUCCUUAUCUUGUGUUAAAUAUCAUUUUGUCAUUGCUCAAAUUUUCCAAUAUUCUAUUUCAAUCUAAAUUGGAAUUUAUAAAAUAUCUUCAUGUAAUGAACAAUGUGAUAUUUUUUAUACUAUUCCAAUUAAAGUGUUAAAAUUCAUUUGUUAAGAAUGCCAGUGUAAAUACGUGAUUGUGUUAACGUCAAAUGUAUUGUAUAAAAAUUGUAAUU
rnacentral:misc_RNA from 1 species